rnacentral:rRNA from 1 species
UGGGGAAUUUUGCACAAUGGGGGAAACCCUGAUGCAGCGACGCCGCGUGAUUUAGAAGGCCUUCGGGUUGUAAAAAUCUUUUUUACGGGAUGAAAAUGACAGUACCGUAAGAAUAAGGUCUGGCUAAAUACGUGCCAGCAGCCGCGGUAAUACGUAUGGACCGAGCGUUGUCCGGAAUCAUUGGGCGUAAAGGGUACGUAGGCGGCCUAGUAAGUUAGAAGUGAAAUAAUAUAGCUCAACUAUAUAAAGCUUUUAAAACUGCUAGGCUUGAGAGAUGGAAGGGAAAGUGGAAUUCCUAGUGUAGCGGUGAAAUGCGCAGAUAUUAGGAAGAAUACCGGUGGCGAAGGCGACUUUCUGGUCAUCAUCUGACGCUGAGGUACGAAAGCGUGGGUAGCAAACAGG